rnacentral:rRNA from 1 species
CCUACGGGUGGCAGCAGUGAGGAAUAUUGGUCAAUGGCCGUAAGGCUGAACCAGCCAAGUCGCGUGAGGGAAGACUGCCCUAUGGGUUGUAAACCUCUUUUGUGCGGGGACAAAGGUGGCCACGUGUGGCUGUUUGCAGGUACCGCAUGAAUAAGGAUCGGCUAAUUCCGUGCCAGCAGCCGCGGUAAUACGGAAGGUCCGGGCGUUAUCCGGAUUUAUUGGGUUUAAAGGGUGCGUGGGCGGUCUUUAAGCGUGCCGUGAAAAUUUGUGGCUCAACCAUGGGAGUGCGGUGGGAACUGGCGACCUUGAGUGCGAGGAAGGCAGGCGGAAUGCGUGGUGUAGCGGUGAAAUGCUUAGAUAUCGCGCAGAACCCCGAUGGCGAAGGCAGCCUGCCGGAGCGUUACUGACGCUGAGGCACGAAAGCGCGGGUAUCGAACAGGAUUAGAUACCCGGGUAGUC